rnacentral:rRNA from 1 species
GUUGUUCGGAAUCACUGGGCGUAAAGGGCGCGUAGGCGGCCAUUCAAGUCGGGGGUGAAAGCCUGUGGCUCAACCACAGAAUUGCCUUCGAUACUGUUUGGCUUGAGACCGGAAGAGGUUAGUGGAACUGCGAGUGUAGAGGUGAAAUUCGUAGAUAUUCGCAAGAACACCAGUGGCGAAGGCGGCUCACUGGCCCGUUACUGACGCUGAGGCACGAAAGCGUGGGGAGCAAACAGG